rnacentral:rRNA from 1 species
AAUUGGAGGGCAAGUCUGGUGCCAGCAGCCGCGGUAAUUCCAGCUCCAAUAGCGUAUAUUAAAGUUGUUGCAGUUAAAAAGCCCGUAGUUGAAUUUCGGGAUCAAUAUUUCGGUCAUGCCGUUGGUAUGCACUGUUAUCAUUGAUUUCUCACCUUCUAAAGAACCGUAAUGCCAUUAAUUUGGUGUUACGGGGAAUUAGGACUGUUACCUUGAAAAAAUUAGAGUGUUUAAAGCAGGCUCACGCUUGAAUACAUUAGCAUGGAAUAAUGAAAUAGGACAUCCGAUUCUAUUUUGUUGGUUUCUAGGAUCGAUGUAAUGAUUAAUAGGGAUAGUUGGGGGCAUUAGUAUUCAAUUGUCAGAGGUGAAAUUCUUGGAUUUAUUGAAGACUAACUACUGCGAAAGCAUUUGCCAAGGAUGUUUUCAUUAAUCAAGAACGAAAGUUAGGGGAUCGAAGACGAUCAGAUACCGUCGUAGUCUUAACCAUAAACUAUGCCGACUAGGGAUCGGAUGAUGUUAAUUUUUUAAUGACUCAUUCGGCGCCUUACGGGAAACCAAAGUGU